GCAAAUUUUCAACAUCUAUAUAGGGAACAAUCUGUCCAGUUUCAUCCAUGUUAGUUUCCUCUGAUGGAACUUCAACUCUUAUAUUUCCCUCUUCUAAGUUUGAGUUUUCCAUUAAUCCUGCGAAACACAAUCAUAAAUAUUAGGUAACAACCCAUCUUUAAGCCUUUCAUAAUAAGAAACUACAGCAUUAUCUGCUACAUUACUACAAGCGCAAGCUUUUAUAACUAGUUAAAAGUCACAAAAAAUAAACUAAAAGAGGAGAAAAAGUUUGAUGUGCUGCUACAGGAAAAGAGAAUACAUGUGCUGCUACAGUGAAAAGCAAAGCUGAUGGUGUAAAAAUUUGGUGCAUUUCGUUAUGGGUCCUAUAUUGUGAAGAAAUAUUGCACACAAGAUGAUCGAUGAAAUGCCGCAUUGAACUUAGAAUAAGUAAAUAAAGCUUUGCUGGUUGUUUCAAUUAUUACUAUGACGGGAGUGCGUAGUGUUGUGAAAACGAACCUUAUACCUCGAGCUGCUAAGAUUUUGACUACAGUCAAUACACGUGGAGUGACGUUCACGUUUUAUCACCGCUCAGAACAAG
rnacentral:lncRNA from 1 species